UACCUUGGGAUAAAAUAAAAAAAAUUAAAUUUUCCAUAUUCCUCAAUCCCUGAACACCAGUUAAUCUUUGACCACCAGUAAACUGGCUUUAUUUUGAUUCAGUCAUGAAAGUAGUUUGGCACUGCCUGUAGUUGUUCUCUUGCACUUACCGGGAGUCAUUUAUUAAUGGGAUACAGAGUAACUAUUAAUGUAAAUCAUGGCACUCAAAUCUGCAAGAUGAAUUAUAUGAACACAUUAAAGGGCACUUAAUGAGUAGAGAUGGGCUAAAGAUUUAGGAGCAUAAAAUGCGUAUUAAUCAUUUCUUAUCAACACUGCGCAGGGCAGGAUAGAGAACGCAAUGCUGGGCAGGACAAAGAAUGCAACGCUGGGCAGGGCAGGAUGGAGAAUGCAAUGCUGGGAUAGGGAGGAUAGAGAAUGCAAUGCUGGGCAAGGCAGGAUACAGAACUCAACAUUGGGCAGGGCAGGACAGAGAAUGCAACGCUGGGCAAGGCAGGAUAAAGAAUGCAAUGCUGGGCAAGACAGGAUAGAGAAUGCAAUGCUGGGCAAGGCAGGAUAGAGAAUGCAAUGCUGGGCAAGACGGGAACAGAACUCAACAUUGGGAAGGGCAGGACAGAGAAUACAACGCUGGGCAAGGCAGGAUAGAGAAUGUAAUGCUGGGCAAGGCUGGAUAGAGAACUCAACAUUGGGCAGGGCAGGACAGAGAAUGUAAACGCUGGGCAAUGCAGGUUAGAGAAUGCAAUGCUCGGCAAGGCAGGAUGGAGAAUGCAAUUGUGGGCAAGGCAGUAUAGAGAAUGCAAUACUGGACAAGGCAGGAUGGAGAAUGCAAUGCUGGGCAAGGUAGGAUAGAGAAUGCAAUACUGGGCAAGAUAGGAGCAGAGUUACGUGAGACUAGAGCUCAGCACAGAAGAAUUCACUCACUUUCUGUUUAUUUCCAUGAGAUUUUUAGAAAUGUAUUUAUGAAAGGGUGACUUUUGGAUAUUUCACAGUAAGCCUCAUACACACAAUGGGUUACCAAAUAUCUGCCUUUCCAUCAAUGGCAACUGUGAAGCUGCAAUCCUGGACAACAGCCAUCCUCCCAUCCUUGCAGCUACAGUACAGUCCACAUCAAAGAGAUGCAAAUAACUGGACACACUGGUGUGGGUGCAGCGAUAGCAAGUGUUCCCAAGGACACCAGGAGCAUUGGACUAUGGGAUUUCAUCUACAGUGCAUCCUAACUUGAUUCCUCUCCCUUGUCUAUCUUAGAAGAGAUGAAUCAUCUCCAAAAACAGCUAGUAUCGACCUGAUUGGCUGGGACUGUCUUUUGGAUGCGGCUUUCCUGAGAAAAGGGUAGCAUGCUUGUUUGAAUGGUCUUCCUCAUGUGUAUAUAAAGAGCAUUGUAAAUACCUUGUUAGUUAGGCUCUUUCCACUCCCCUCCAUUACACCUUUCCCUGUCCCUUUCUUCCUUCCUCCAUCUUAGUUGGUUCUCUUUUUAUUUUAUACCUUUUCAUUCCUUUGUAAAUAAAUAUACCACUUAUUUAAA